GGCCUCCCAAUGCUUACUACAGGCUGUGUUCUUAACACUGUAUAGAAAGAGGAGGUACAGUAAAUGCACCCCAUAUACACCUCAACCCAGGCCCUUUGCCUGGUCUGUAUUGUGAGUGGAGGGACAAAA